GGCCUUGUGGCGCAAUGGUAGCGUGUCCGCCUCCUAUUUGUGGUAUAGGGUUUGCUAGCGGGAGGUUUAGGGUUCGAGUCCCUACUGGGUCA
rfam:Serendipita vermifera MAFF 305830 unplaced genomic scaffold scaffold_2, whole genome shotgun sequence.